rfam:Drosophila melanogaster chromosome 2R.
CGAAUAAGUGAAUAAAGAGAGCUGUCCGUCGACAGUCCAGAAACUAUUUAAUAUCACUGUCAUGGAAUUGCUCUCUUUGUAUAAUAUUCG